CUGCCUCAGCCUCCCAAAGUGCUGGGAUUACAGGGGUGAGCCACCACACCCAGCAAUCUCACUUGAUUUCUAUCCUGGAAGACUACAAGAACCAAGGAUGAUUGUAACAUCUCCUGGUACCCCAGAUGGGACCCUCAUUUUAGGUCCCCACAGGAGUUAGCAAGACUUCCUGGAGGACAGAGGCAACUGACCAGGUGGUAACAAAGGUGGCCACUCUGGACCAUUGCUUUGGUGUUGGUGCUUUGGAGAGUCAAGUCUGGACCCUAGUCCUGAAGAGUUCCAUCACCAUCACCACUGUGGAGCCUUGGGUCACCCUCAAUAUGGCAGGUAGGAAACUGAAUUCCUUAUGGAUACCAGAGCCCCCUACUCUGUCCUGACCCAUCCUGAUGGAUCUCUGUUCAGCGCCAGUUGUACAGUGACGGGAACAGAUGGACAACCCAAGGAGACUACAACAAGCCAGGAUGAUGGUAACAUCUCUGUCAAGAUGACAUAGAUUUAUUUUUCCUGGCUCCUCUCUGCUAAAAACCCUGGAAUAACAUAACAGACAUUCUUAAGAGGACUCUGAAAGAUAAAAAGAAGGAAAACUGACAAGGGCCUUAGAACUCGAGAAACAUCUCAGUGGCCCAGCAUCUCUCAAUUUCCCACCCAACGACAGGACGUGGUCUAGAUCCAGCAUCUCCCCAGCCCCCUAUCCAGCGGCAGAAAGCACCCAGGUAGGUGCUUUCCCCACCCUAGUGGAUGGCAGAGAUGAAGGAAGAGCCCUGCUGGCACCACGCAGCCCAGGGAAGUACUCUCCACCCUUUUGUGCCAGUGUCUCCUACUCCUAACGUAGCAGCACCAAGCAGGCCCCAAGAAAAUGCUUUUAACCUCCAUUGGUGGUACUAACAGGAAUUGGGUAUGAGCUCAACCAGCACCAGGCAAAUGAAAUAGACCGGAAUAAUAAUGCAAGGGCUCUGAAAACUAAAUUGUCAUUGGAAUCAUAGCACACAAAAGUAGGCCAGGACCUGCAUGCUAACCUAAAAACAGUGACUGCUAAAAUGGAAGAGUUAAAUAGGAUCCAGGGUCUCCUCUCAUAAUACCAGAAAUGUCCAGGAUAUAAUUUAAAAAUCAUACAUAAUAUGAACAACCAGAAAAAUCACAACUUGAAUGAGAAAAGCCAAUCAACAAUCUAACACUGAGAUGAAAGAUUUUAGAAUUAUCUGACAAAGAUCUAAAGUAGCCAUCAUAAAAAUGUUUCACCAAGCAAGUAGAAAUUCCUUGCAAAGAUGGGAAAGAAAAGAAAAUCUCACCAAAGAAAUGGAAAGUAUGUUCUUAAAGAAUCAAAUGAAAAUGAUAAAACUGAAAAAUACAAUAACUAAAAUAAAAACUCACUGGAAAGGCUCAAGAGCAGAGCAACUAUGACAAAGGAAAUAAGAAGUGAACUUGAAGAUAGAACAAUAAAAAUUACCCAAUCCAAAAAACAGAGAGACAAUCAACUUUAAAAAAGAGAAACAGAAAAUGACUAACAAGGGCUCAGAGAACCUGCAGGACAAUUAUAAAAUAGCUAACAUUUGUAUUAUCAGAUUAACAGAAGGAGAAAAGAAAGUGGGGCUGAAAAAUAUUUGAAGAAUAAUGACCAAACCUUCCCAAAUUUGGCAAAAGACAUAAACCUACAGAUGCAAGAAGCUAAACAGAAUAAAUCUGACGGAUUCCAUGCCAAAACACAGUAUAACUAACUUAUGAAAACAAAGGCAAACAAUGAAACUAUCUUGGAAGCAGCUAGAGAGGAAUUAUAAAUUGUCUAUAGGGAACACUGAUCAAAUGACAAAAAAUUUCUUAUCAAAAACCAUGGAGAAGAAAGCCUGGAGCAAUACUCUUCAAGUGCUGAAAGAAAAUAACUAUCUGCUGAGAAUCUUUUUUUUUUUUUUUUUGAG
rnacentral:lncRNA from 1 species